rnacentral:rRNA from 1 species
AUAAACGCUGGCGGCGUGCUUAACACAUGCCGGUCGCACGAAGUUUUUCCUUCGGGAGAAACUUAGUGGCGGACGGGUGAGUAACGCGUGGGUAACCUGCCCUGUACAGGGGGACAACAGCUGGAAACGGCUGCUAAUACCGCAUAAGCCCUUAGCACUGCAUGGUGCAUAGGGAAAAGGAGCAAUCCGGUACAGGAUGGACCCGCGUCUGAUUAGCCAGUUGGCAGGGUAACGGCCUACCAAAGCGACGAUCAGUAGCCGAUCUGAGAGGAUGUACGGCCACAUUGGGACUGAGACACGGCCCAGACUCCUACGGGAGGCAGCAGUGGGGAAUAUUGCACAAUGGAGGAAACUCUGAUGCAGCGACGCCGCGUGAGUGAAGAAGUAUUUCGGUAUGUAAAGCUCUAUCAGCAGGGAAGAAAAUGACGGUACCUGACUAAGAAGCACCGGCUAAAUACGUG